rnacentral:rRNA from 1 species
GAGUUUGAUCCUGGCUCAGAACGAACGCUGGCGGCGUGCCUAACACAUGCAAGUCGAACGUGAUCCAGAGCUUGCUCUGGUGAAAGUGGCGCACGGGUGAGUAACGCGUGGAUAACCUACCCUGGUAUCCGGGAUAACAUUCCAAAAGGGGUGCUAAUACCGGAUAAGCCCACGGGCUCUUUGGAGCUUGCGGGAAAAGGUGGCCUCUAUUUAUAAGCUACUGUAUCAGGAUGGGUCCGCGUACCAUUAGCUAGUUGGCGGUGUAACGGACCACCAAGGCGACGAUGGUUAGCUGGUCUGAGAGGAUGAUCAGCCACACUGGAACUGAGACACGGUCCAGACUCCUACGGGAGGCAGCAGUGGGGAAUUUUGCGCAAUGGGGGAAACCCUGACGCAGCAACGCCGCGUGAGUGAUGAAGGCCUUUGGGUCGUAAAGCUCUGUCAGAGGGGAAGAAAUGAUAUAGUGCUAAUACCACUUUAUCUUGACGGUACCCUCAAAGGAAGCACCGGCUAACUCCGUGCCAGCAGCCGCGGUAAUAC